AGAGUUUGAUCAUGGCUCAGGAUGAACGCUAGCGGGAGGCCUAACACAUGCAAGCUGAGCGGUAUUUGUCUUUCGGGACAGAGAGAGCGGCGUACGGGUGCGUAACACGUGUGCAACCUGCCUUUAUCAGGAGGAUAGCCUUUCGAAAGGAAGAUUAAUACUCCAUAAUAUAUUAAUUGGCAUCAAUUGAUAUUGAAAAUUCCGGUGGAUAAAGAUGGGCACGCGCAAGAUUAGAUAGUUGGUGAGGUAACGGCUCACCAAGUCGAUGAUCUUUAGGGGGCCUGAGAGGGUGAUCCCCCACACUGGUACUGAGACACGGACCAGACUCCUACGGGAGGCAGCAGUGAGAAAUAUUGGACAAUGGGUUAGCGCCUGAUCCAGCCAUCCCGCGUGAAGGAUUAAGGACCUAUGGUUUGUAAACUUCUUUUGUACAGGGAUAAACCUACCCUCGUGAGGGUAGCUGAAGGUACUGUACGAAUAAGCACCGGCUAACUCCGUG
rnacentral:rRNA from 1 species